rnacentral:rRNA from 1 species
GACGAACGCUGGCGGCGUGCUUAACACAUGCAAGUCGAACGGAGUGGCGAACGGGGGAGUAACACGUGGGUGAUCUGCCUUGCACUUCGGGAUAAGCUUGGGAAACUGGGUCUAAUACCGGAUAGUGCAAGAUGAGCUCGCCGCCUAUCAUAGUGUUGGUGUGGUAAUGGCCUACCAAGGCGUCGACGGGUAGCCGGCCUGAGAGGGGGUACGGGCACAUUCGGAAUGGGAUACGGGCCAGACUCCUACGGGAGGCAGCAGUGGGGAAUAUUGCACAAUGUGCGGAAGCCUGAUGCAGCGACGCCGCGUGGGGGAUGAAGGUCUCGGGUUGUAAACUCCUUUCGACAGGGACGCGGUACCUGUAUAAGAAGCACCGGCUAACUACGUGCCAGCAGCCGCGGUAAUUC